AUCCAGAAAUCAGCCCGGAGGGUCUGCCUGCCUGACUUUGACCCCCGGGAGCUGCUGGAGUGCAUCCGGGCCCUGGUGCGGCUCGAGGGGCGCUGGGUGCCGCGGGACCCCCGGAGCAGCCUCUACAUCCGGCCCACCUUCAUCGGCACCGAGCCCACCCUGGGGGUCUCUCCCCCCGGCCGAGCCCUGCUCUUUGUGCUGCUCUGCCCGGUGGGGCCGUACUUCCCGGGGGGCUUCGGGCCCAUCCGGCUCCUGGCCGACCCGCGGCACGUCCGGGCCUGGCCGGGGGGCGCCGGACACUGCAAGCUGGGCGGGUGAGUGACCACUGACCACUGACCAC